rnacentral:rRNA from 1 species
GAUGAACGCUGGCGGCGUGCCUAAUACAUGCAAGUCGAGCGAACGGACGAGAAGCUUGCUUCUCUGAUGUUAGCGGCGGACGGGUGAGUAACACGUGGAUAACCUACCUAUAAGACUUGGAUAACUUCGGGAAACCGUAGCUAAUACCGGAUAAUAUUUUGAACCGCAUGGUUCAAAAGUGAAAGACGGUCUUGCUGUCACUUCUCGAUGGAUCCGCGCGGCAUUAGCUAGUUGGUAAGGUAACGGCUUACCAAGGAAACGAUGCAUAGCCGACCUGAGGGGGUGUUCGGCCACACUGGAGCUGAGACGCGGUCCAGACUCCUACGGGCGGCAGCAGUAGGGACUCUUCCGCGCUGGGCGAAAUCCUGACGGAGCAACGCAGCGUGAGUGAUGAAGGUCUUCGGGUCGUAAAACUCUGUUAUUAGGGAAGAACAUAUGUGUAGUAACUGUGCACAGCUUGACGGUACCUAAUCAGAAAGCCACGGCUAACUACGUG